rnacentral:rRNA from 1 species
UGGGAAAUUUUGGACAAUGGGCGAAAGCCUGAUCCAGCAAUGCCGCGUGUGUGAAGAAGGCCUUCGGGUUGUAAAGCACUUUUGUCCGGAAAGAAAUCCUUGGCUCUAAUACAGUCGGGGGAUGACGGUACCGGAAGAAUAAGCACCGGCUAACUACGUGCCAGCAGCCGCGGUAAUACGUAGGGUGCAAGCGUUAAUCGGAAUUACUGGGCGUAAAGCGUGCGCAGGCGGUUUGCUAAGACCGAUGUGAAAUCCCCGGGCUCAACCUGGGAACUGCAUUGGUGACUGGCAGGCUAGAGUAUGGCAGAGGGGGGUAGAAUUCCACGUGUAGCAGUGAAAUGCGUAGAGAUGUGGAGGAAUACCGAUGGCGAAGGCAGCCCCCUGGGCCAAUACUGACGCUCAUGCACGAAAAGCGUGGGGGAGCAAAACAGGAUUAGAUACCCCUGGUAGUCCACGCCCUAAAACGAUGUCAACUAGUUGUUGGGGGAUUCAUUUCCUUAGUAACGUAGCUAACGCGUGAAGUUGACCGCCU